rnacentral:rRNA from 1 species
GAUGAACGCUGGCGGCGUGCUUAACACAUGCAAGUCGAACGGAAAGGCCCAAGCUUGCUUGGGUACUCGAGUGGCGAACGGGUGAGUAACACGUGGGUGAUCUGCCCUGCACUUUGGGAUAAGCCUGGGAAACUGGGUCUAAUACCGGAUAGGACCACUUCUUGGAUGUUGUGGUGGAAAGUUUUUUCGGUGUGGGGUGGGCUCGCGGCCUAUCAGCUUGUUGGUGGGGUAAUGGCCUACCAAGGCGUCGACGGGUAGCCGGGCUGGGAGGGGGUACGGCCACAUUGGGACUGGGAAAAGGCCCAGACUCCUACGGGAGGCAGCAGGGGGGAAUAUUGCACAAUGGGCGCGAGCCUGAUGCAGGGACGCCGCGUGGGGGAAGACGGCCUUCGGGUUGUAAACUCCUUUCGCUAGGGACGAAGCGCUUUGUGACGGUACCUGGAGAAGAAGCACCGGCUAACUACGUG